GGGUUGUGAGGUUAAGCGACUAAGCGUACACGGUGGAUGCCCUGGCAGUCAGAGGCGAUGAAGGACGUGCUAAUCUGCGAUAAGCGCCGGUAAGGUGAUAUGAACCGUUAUAACCGGCGAUUUCCGAAUGGGGAAACCCAGUGUGACUCGUCACACUAUCAUUAACUGAAUCCAUAGGUUAAUGAGGCGAACCGGGGGAACUGAAACAUCUAAGUACCCCGAGGAAAAGAAAUCAACCGAGAUUCCCCCAGUAGCGGCGAGCGAACGGGGAGGAGCCCAGAGCCUGAAUCAGCAUGUGUGUUAGUGGAAGCGUCUGGAAAGGCGCGCGAUACAGGGUGACAGCCCCGUACACAAAAGCGCAUGUGCUGUGAGCUCGAUGAGUAGGGCGGGACACGUGGUAUCCUGUCUGAAUAUGGGGGGACCAUCCUCCAAGGCUAAAUACUCCUGACUGACCGAUAGUGAACCAGUACCGUGAGGGAAAGGCGAAAAGAACCCCGGCGAGGGGAGUGAAAAAGAACCUGAAACCGUGUACGUACAAGCAGUGGGAGCCCCACCACUAAGCCAGUGGUGAACUCCACAUACGCAUCCUUUGCUGAGGAUACGGUUAACGGAGCGAAAGCGACGUUCAACCGCAAAAGAAGCAGAGGGGGCUUAGUGGUGGGGUGACUGCGUACCUUUUGUAUAAUGGGUCAGCGACUUAUAUUCUGUAGCAAGGUUAACCGAAUAGGGGAGCCGGAGGGAAACCGAGUCUUAACCGGGCGUUAAGUUGCAGGGUAUAGACCCGAAACCCGGUGAUCUAGCCAUGGGCAGGUUGAAGGUUGGGUAACACUAACUGGAGGACCGAACCGACUAAUGUUGAAAAAUUAGCGGAUGACCUGUGGCUGGGGGUGAAAGGCCAAUCAAACCGGGAGAUAGCUGGUUCUCCCCGAAAGCUAUUUAGGUAGCGCCUCGUGAAUUCAUCUCCGGGGGUAGAGCACUGUUUCGGCUAGGGGGCCAUCCCGGCUUACCAACCCGAUGCAAACUGCGAAUACCGGAGAAUGUUAUCACGGGAGACACACGGCGGGUGCUAACGUCCGUCGUGAAGAGGGAAACAACCCAGACCGCCAGCUAAGGUCCCAAAGUCAUGGUUAAGUGGGAAACGAUGUGGGAAGGCCCAGACAGCCAGGAUGUUGGCUUAGAAGCAGCCAUCAUUUAAAGAAAGCGUAAUAGCUCACUGGUCGAGUCGGCCUGCGCGGAAGAUGUAACGGGGCUAAACCAUGCACCGAAGCUGCGGCAGCGACACUCAGGUGUUGUUGGGUAGGGGAGCGUUCUGUAAGCCUGCGAAGGUGGCCUGUGAGGGUUGCUGGAGGUAUCAGAAGUGCGAAUGCUGACAUAAGUAACGAUAAAGCGGGUGAAAAGCCCGCUCGCCGGAAGACCAAGGGUUCCUGUCCAACGUUAAUCGGGGCAGGGUGAGUCGACCCCUAAGGCGAGGCCGAAAGGCGUAGUCGAUGGGAAACGGGUUAAUAUUCCCGUACUUGGUGUUACUGCGAAGGGGGGACGGAGAAGGCUAUGUUGGCCGGGCGACGGUUGUCCCGGUUUAAGCGUGUAGGUGUGUGUUCCAGGUAAAUCCGGUUCACUUUAACACUGAGGCGUGACGACGAGGCACUACGGUGCUGAAGCAACAAAUGCCCUGCUUCCAGGAAAAGCCUCUAAGCAUCAGGUAACAUCAAAUCGUACCCCAAACCGACACAGGUGGUCAGGUAGAGAAUACCAAGGCGCUUGAGAGAACUCGGGUGAAGGAACUAGGCAAAAUGGUGCCGUAACUUCGGGAGAAGGCACGCUGACACGUAGGUGAAGUGAUUUACUCAUGGAGCUGAAGUCAGUCGAAGAUACCAGCUGGCUGCAACUGUUUAUUAAAAACACAGCACUGUGCAAACACGAAAGUGGACGUAUACGGUGUGACGCCUGCCCGGUGCCGGAAGGUUAAUUGAUGGGGUCAGCGCAAGCGAAGCUCCUGAUCGAAGCCCCGGUAAACGGCGGCCGUAACUAUAACGGUCCUAAGGUAGCGAAAUUCCUUGUCGGGUAAGUUCCGACCUGCACGAAUGGCGUAAUGAUGGCCAGGCUGUCUCCACCCGAGACUCAGUGAAAUUGAACUCGCUGUGAAGAUGCAGUGUACCCGCGGCAAGACGGAAAGACCCCGUGAACCUUUACUAUAGCUUGACACUGAACAUUGAGCCUUGAUGUGUAGGAUAGGUGGGAGGCUUUGAAGUGUGGACGCCAGUCUGCAUGGAGCCGGCCUUGAAAUACCACCCUUUAAUGUUUGAUGUUCUAACGUGGACCCGUGAUCCGGGUUGCGGACAGUGUCUGGUGGGUAGUUUGACUGGGGCGGUCUCCUCCUAAAGAGUAACGGAGGAGCACGAAGGUUGGCUAAUCCUGGUCGGACAUCAGGAGGUUAGUGCAAUGGCAUAAGCCAGCUUGACUGCGAGCGUGACGGCGCGAGCAGGUGCGAAAGCAGGUCAUAGUGAUCCGGUGGUUCUGAAUGGAAGGGCCAUCGCUCAACGGAUAAAAGGUACUCCGGGGAUAACAGGCUGAUACCGCCCAAGAGUUCAUAUCGACGGCGGUGUUUGGCACCUCGAUGUCGGCUCAUCACAUCCUGGGGCUGAAGUAGGUCCCAAGGGUAUGGCUGUUCGCCAUUUAAAGUGGUACGCGAGCUGGGUUUAGAACGUCGUGAGACAGUUCGGUCCCUAUCUGCCGUGGGCGCUGGAGAACUGAGGGGGGCUGCUCCUAGUACGAGAGGACCGGAGUGGACGCAUCACUGGUGUUCGGGUUGUCAUGCCAAUGGCACUGCCCGGUAGCUAAAUGCGGAAGAGAUAAGUGCUGAAAGCAUCUAAGCACGAAACUUGCCCCGAGAUGAGUUCUCCCUGAGACUUAGAGUCUCCUGAAGGAACGUUGAAGACGACGACGUUGAUAGGCCGGGUGUGUAAGCGCAGCGAUGCGUUGAGCUAACCGGUACUAAUGAACCGUGAGGCUUAACCUUACAACGCCGAAG
rnacentral:rRNA from 1 species